GUCGUGCACAUACACUGAGAAGGCUUCAACAAUCCACGGAGCGUAUAAAAGUCUACCUGCGGCCCGAAACUAACAACAACAUGCGGUUCGCUGUUCUUGCUUUGGUCGUUGCGGCGCUGAUCGCUCUUGUCGCAGCGGCACCGGCUCACGAUGUAGCGAGGCGAUCACCCCUUCUCGGCUGCAUCUCCAAAUGUUUCGGCGGUUCCAAGAGCAGCGGCAAGGUGAAGCCUAUCCGGACGGGCAAUCGGGGAGCGUACCCCGGCCAAAGUUAAACCGUGGGGCCACAUUUAAGGGCGAGUCCGCCUGGAGGUCAUGUGAAAGAUAAGGCUGUUAUCAAUCAAAUGAAAUAAAAUUCUGUGGCGAAAGCUGCGUCUUCGAGAACAGGAGUCACCCAGUCACUCCGCAAAUUGAACUACUGGGCCGAGUGACUCACUGGGAUCCCACGAAUAGUCGACGCACAAUCGCCCGUCCGCAGCGACGACAGAUAUUUGAGAAUAAAACGUGUGUUUACAGCUCUCUAGGAGAGCACUCCAA